AUUGAACGCUGGCGGCAGGCCUAACACAUGCAAGUCGAGCGAGCGGCGGACGGGUGAGUAAUGUCUGGGAAACUGCCUGAUGGAGGGGGAUAACUACUGGAAACGGUAGCUAAUACCGCAUACCAUCAGAUGUGCCCAGGUGGGAUUAGCUAGGCGGUGUGGUAACGGCUAACCUAGGCGACGAUCCCUAGCUGGUCUGAGCGGAUGACACGCCACACUGGAACUUGGAGACGGUCCAGACUCCUACGGGAGCCAGCAGUGGGGAAUAUUGCACAAUGGGCGCAAGCCUGAUGCAGCCAUGCCGCGUGUGUGAAGAAGGCUUUCGGGUUGUAAAGCACUUUCAGCGGGGAGGCGUUACCCGCAGAAGAAGCACCGGCUAACUCCGUGCCAGCAGCCGCGGUAAUUC
rnacentral:rRNA from 1 species